rnacentral:rRNA from 1 species
UACAGAGGGUGCGAGCGUUAAUCGGAAUUACUGGGCGUAAAGGGCGCGUAGGCGGCCAUCUAAGUCAGACGUGAAAUCCCCCGGCUUAACCUGGGAACUGCGUCUGAUACUGGAAGGCUUGAGUAUGGGAGAGGGAUGUAGAAUUCCAGGUGUAGCGGUGAAAUGCGUAGAUAUCUGGAGGAACACCGGUGGCGAAGGCGGCAUCCUGGACCAAUUCUGACACUGAGGAGCGAAAGCCAGGGGAGCAAACGGG